rnacentral:rRNA from 1 species
GGGACACGUGGUAUCCUGUCUGAAUAUGGGGGGACCAUCCUCCAAGGCUAAAUACUCCUGACUGACCGAUAGUGAACCAGUACCGUGAGGGAAAGGCGAAAAGAACCCCGGCGAGGGGAGUGAAAAAGAACCUGAAACCGUGUACGUACAAGCAGUGGGAGCACGCUUAGGCGUGUGACUGCGUACCUUUUGUAUAAUGGGUCAGCGACUUAUAUUCUGUAGCAAGGUUAACCGAAUAGGGGAGCCGAAGGGAAACCGAGUCUUAACUGGGCGUUAAGUUGCAGGGUAUAGACCCGAAACCCGGUGAUCUAGCCAUGGGCAGGUUGAAGGUUGGGUAACACUAACUGGAGGACCGAACCGACUAAUGUUGAAAAAUUAG